AGCGAACGCUGGCGGCAGGCCUAACACAUGCAAGUCGAGCGGGCGUAGCAAUACGUCAGCGGCAGACGGGAGAGUAACACGUGGGAACGUGCCCUUUGGUUCGGAAUAACUCGGGGAAACUUGAGCUAAUGCCGGAUAAGCCCUUCGGGGGAAAGAUUUAUUGCCAUUGGAGCGGCCCGCGUCGGAUUAGCUAGUUGGUGAGGUAAUGGCUCACCAAGGCGACGAUCCGUAGCUGGUCUGAGAGGAUGACCAGCCUCACUGGGACUGAGACACGGCCCAGACUCCUACGGGAGGCAGCAGUGGGGAAUAUUGGACAAUGGGCGCAAGCCUGAUCCAGCCAUGCCGCGUGGAUGAUGAAGGCCCUAGGGUUGUAAAGCCCUUUUAACGGGGAAGAUAAUGACGGUACCCGUAGAAUAAGCCCCGGCUAACUUCGUGCCAGCCGCCGCCGUAA
rnacentral:rRNA from 1 species